UUACUGUCAAUUGAUUUUAAUAUUUUCAUGCAAAAGACAACUGUAUUACGAAAGAAAUAACUGUUAACCGUAACUACAAUAAGGUAUUAAAGUUAUAGAAGUUUCAAUCCUAAUAACGCAUAAUUUUCACUUUUGGUUUAAUAUGUUUAUAUUAUUUAUCUAAAAAACAAAAUCAUAAUAAAUAUAUUUUGAUUAAAUGUCACAGAAAAACCACGCCCAUGUCAAUUUUGAUUGUUACAAAAUGACAAUUUUUUUGAAAAGAGAUAUCAUACCGUAUUAAUAAGGUGGUGUUUGUUUUUUUUUCAAAAGCUCUUCUAGACCUUUUAUGUCUGCAUCGCGUAGACGACCCACAAACUUUUAGUCCUAUAGACUGUUUGUUUUUUAGAAGACCGUACGCAUAAAAAAAUCUGUCCAUCCUCUUCUUGACGUAGAUGUGAACAUAUGUCUUCUAGUCUCUUUCUUAAUCUUUCCACUAAUCUUAAGAGACAAUAAAAAAGCGCAAAAAGAAUAAAAAAAUGAAAAAAAAAACCUAUCAAACCUCAUUCGUGCACCUUUUUUUUUAAUUCAUUUGCCAUGUAAACACUUUGUAAAUAUAUUAUUUUAAUGAUUUUAGCUUUAUAAACUUUAUUUGGUCAAAUAAUUUUUUGGUAUUCAUAUUUUAAAAAACUUUAUGCAUAUUUAUCCGAUGACUUUUUAUAACAGUAAUUAAAAAAGUUAAAUAUACUACAAAACUUAUGAAAGUAUUUUACGAACGUGUUUUUUUUCUUCAUAAAAUGGACAAUUAAUUUGUUAUAUAUAUAUAUAUAUGCUUAUUAUAUGAUAACUAGGCUCGUGCGUGUGAACAAGUCUCCGUUUGCCACCUAGCACGGUAUCUNNNNNNNNNNNNNNNNNNNNNNNNNNNNNNNNNNNNNNNNNNNNNNNNNNNNNNNNNNNNNNNNNNNNNNNNNNNNNNNNNNNNNNNNNNNNNNNNNNNNNNNNNNNNNNNNNNNNAUAUAUAUAUAUAUAUUGAAAAUAAGGUGGUUGUAUUAUUAAAUUACAAUGUUUUUAUAUAAGAAAUAUUGAAAAAGUCUUUUAAAUUAAAAAAAAAAUCAAUUUAUUUAGGUUUUAAUUUAUUUUAGCAGUUUGUAGAUUUUAAAAAACAAACAGUCUUCUUGCAGACUGCAGACGUUUGGUCCAUAUCUUCUACUGCAGAUGUCGUCCGCAGACUGCAGACAUUUUGCUUCUGAAAAACAAACACCAUCUAAGUUUCAAACGCAUAAACAUUUAUUAACAAAAGACAUGUAAACGUGGAUUAUGAACUAAUGACAUAGAUAUACGAUAAGUACUAUAAAGAGGAAAAAGCAUAGUUAAGAUUGACCCAAAUUGUAAUGAUUAUAGUCUUGCUAAUGUAAAUAUUUAAUUAGUUUUUCUUGAUAAUCAUGAUAAAUGAUACUUUUUGACUCAUGAGUGAUGAAUAAACAAUAGUAUAUAUAGAUUUACUAAGACGAAAAAAGACAUGAGUUUUAAUGAUAGAAUAUUAUUGAAAAAAUAAUAAAGAAUAUGAUCAACUUUAAAUUAGUGCCCGGAUAAAAUCGAAGUUUUAGAAAGUGCUGAUUAGUGGCGAUCCUUCAUUUUUUUAUAACUUUAUUUCAAAUUAAUGGUAAUCAUGUAUAAUAAUUAAUAAACUUACAAUACGCUAAUAUACAUUACAAUCAUUUUCAUCCUAUGUGAAAAUAAUUUUUGACAUAUUAUUCGUUUUCAAAUUAUAUAGAUGCAUAGGCAAUAAUAUGUCUUUUAUGUGAAAUAAUGUGUGUUUUUUUUAUGUGAAAACAUGUUUUUUAUAUAUAAAAAUAUAUUUUCACAUAAAAAAAACCUGUUAUGCAAAAAACCUUUUGGACCAAAUUUAUAUAGAAACAUAUUUUUCACAUAUAAAAACCUUUUUAUAACAAAAAUGUUUUGUAAAAAAGGUUUUUAGUAUAAAUAUGAUUUUAUAAAGCAAAAAUAACAUAUUUCGAAACAAAAUUUUGGAAAAAUAUAUGUAAAAAAAACAAAAUUUAAGAUGAAAUUGUAACAAAAUUUUAAAAUAGGGACAAAAAUAUAAAAAUUGGACCAAAUUUAUAACAAAAUUUAAAAUCUGAGAAAAAAAUGUAAAUUUUAAAACUGGGAUGACCUUAUAGCCGGGAAAAAUGAUGAAAAUGAAUAUAUUUACCUGUAUUCGUAUCUUAAUUAAAAAAAUAAUAAUUUAAAUACUUAAUUGAAUAUAAGGUUAAAAAUAUAAACACUUUAUAGAUUUUCCUAUACUAAAUACUAUAGCAAAAUAUGUGGAAUUUGGUAUUUAGUAACUUUGGUCUCACUUUUGUUAAAUUUCUAUUUUCUAUCAUUUUACUUUUUGAAAAUUCGUUUUUACCUCUCGAUUUUUCUACUUAUUAACUUUGGUCCAUCACUUUUGUUAAGUUCUCAAAUUUUCAUCCUUUUUACUUUUGAAAUUGUUGCUUUUACCCCCUUUAACUUUCAACUUUCUAGAUACUCAACUCACUCAGCAUGAAGUAUAAGAAAAAAGAGAAGAGAGAGAGAGAGAGAGAGAGAGGAAGCAGCGGGCUGAAGAACCCACAUGAGACGUCUUCUGGCGGUAACCACCAAGGCGUGGAUUUGUUACCCUAGCCGUCGCACGACUCCGUGCACCCUUGGAGAGUAAUCAGUGUUAAAACACUAAGUUGCUUGAAAUAAGGAAUUUGAAGUUAAAUUGAAAAUUUAAAUGUAGAUACGAAAACACAUCAUCUUGCUAACUUGACAACUUAACGCCAUCUUAAGUGGAUACCAUAGAAUGACCCACGAGUGGCGAAUUUAAAAAAAGAAUCACAUGGUUCCUAAUUAAGUGAAGCCAAUAAAAAAAAUCAACAAUACUUUUGGAGUCGGGUCAGGUCGGCUCAUGUACCUUAAAAGAACUGAACAAGUUCAAUCGGCUCAUGUACCUUGUAACGACCCGUCUCUGGUAUGUUGUUUCCAUGUUAUUUAUUUAGAAGUUUUCAAGAGGGACUCGGGGAGUCUAUAGCCCGACUCGUCGAGUAGAGACGGGAUUUCGAGCACGUGUAAGUCGCCGACUCAACGAGUCCAUAUUCGAGACUCGGCGAGUCCGCCUGCUAGGAAGAAACCCUAAAUCCCCGGGUUUGCUCACUAUUUAAGCAAUGUUAUGUGCCCCAAACUCGCCUCCUUCACCCUCAGAGAGCUUGAGAGAAACCCUAAACCAUUCCUUGUAUGACUAAAGUGUUUUGUGUGGAUUCUUGAAGGAAAAAGAAGAAAGGACCCAAAAAGAGGAAGUGUAGAGCAAAGAUCCAAGGCCAAAGUCAGAGUUCAUUGAGGUAUGUCUCGGAAUUAUUCUGUUUUGUGCUUAAAACCUCCAUUAGAACACCUCUAAGGCUAGUUUAAUGUAUUUUCCAAGCUUUAUAGUUGUAUGGAUGCCUUGUUGGGUCGAGAUAUCCCUAGAUCUGUUCAUUUAGGAGUUUUAGAGCCCUGAUCUAGUGCCUUUUCGAAGUUUCUUUGCUUGAGAACCCUAGAUCUAGCCUUUAUUAUGCUUUUUGAGCCUUUUAAUCUUCAUGGGUGCAUAUGGGCACGUAAAGAUAGAAUCUUUACGUGUUAAUCGAGCUUAGGGAGCCCAGAUCUAUAAGUUUUAUGCGUUGGAUUCAAGCAGAAUCGAGUUUAUAGUAGCUGCAUGCAUGCGACUCGGCGAGUCGUUCUUCCGACUCGGUGAGUCGAGUCGUGAGUCCCCGAUUUUUCCUCUUUUGAGUAAUGCCGAGUGGGGACCAGUGAGUAGUAGAGUGGACUUAGUGAGCUGGAGGUCAGACUCAGUAAUGGAGGGACUCGACGAGUUGUUCAUACAACUCGGCGAGUCCAAGGCAAUCUUCUUAGCUCAAGAACAACUCGUCGAGUUGUUCAUACGACUCGGCGAGUCGGAUGCAGAUAGCUUGAGUUCUAGAAUCGAAAGGAAACUCGUCGAGUUUAUGCCAUACUCGACGAGUAGCAGCGAGUAGGGUUGAGAAGUGAGAAUAGGGACUAGGCGAGUUGGCGGCCCAACUCGGCGAGUCAGGUCAACUGUAGGUUGACUUUGACCAGGAGAGUUGACUUUGACCAGGGGUAAAAGAAUCAUUUUACCCCAAUACAGUGAUUAGUAUUUGAUUGAGUGUGUUUAUGGAAUUGUAGCCGGAGAGAUACCAGAGCAGCAGCAGAUAGCUUCCAGAGCCAUACAUUCAGCAGCCAGUUUACGAGGUGAGUUUCCUACCAGUAGGAACGGGUCUACGACAACAAUGCCGGCCCGUUUAGCUAGCAGUUAGUUCCGGACUUCGGUCCGAAGCAGUAGUUCAAGGUGCUUGAUGUUGUGUUUCGGGCAUGUCUAUGUGUUAUGUUAGCAGAUACGUGUUUAUGUUAUGCUAUGUUCAGACAGUUCCGGAUUUCGGUCCGAUGCAGCUAGUUCCGGACUCCGGUCCGAUGCAGGGGACAAGGUCCCAGUCAGUUCCGGAUUUCGGUCCGAUGCAGACAGUUUCGGACUUCGGUCCGAUGCAGUCAAUUCCAGACUUCGGUCCGAUGCAGUGGGCAAGGCCCAGUAUGUGCUUUAUUUGUUAUUGUGUGGUAUGCGGUAGUUUAGGGGAGCUCACUAAGCUUCGUGCUUACAGUUUCAGUUUUGGUUUCAGGUACUUCCGCAAGUAAAGGGAAGAACUCGGGAUGAUGCAUCGCACACACCACAACUUCAGUUUUUGUCGUGGGAGUUGAUUCAGUUUCUUAGAUAUGUUUUGAUACUGUUGUGACACAUUUUUUCUCACAGUAUUUUAUUAUGUGAUACUCAGUUUUAUGAUCUUUGUUAUAAUAUAAAUGAAAUUAUCGGGUCGUAUUUUUGGGAUGUUUCAAGUACCUUGUGCCACCGAUUAAAAAAAUUUUAAAAACCGAUUGAAAUAUAACUGAAAAAGACAUACAGCUUAACGAAAAACUAGUUGAUUAUUAGUCCAUUGAUAAAGCGGCGAACGCAGAGUGAGAGUCUUUGGCAUGUGGGCUUUCAUUUUAUUAGAACAACUUGUUUAUUUAUUAAUAUUUUGAGAGUGCCGAUUAAGAGUAGUUAACUUUUUAUUAUCAAUCUCAUAAUUUAAAAUAACAAAUUGUCCCUAAUAACUUAUAUUUUUCUCUUUUUAAAGUGGUUUUUUUUUUUAAAAAUAAAAAUAAAAAUAAACUCAAUGUAGGUUCUCUAUUUUUUUAAGACUAAAUUACACAGAUGGUCCCUGUGGUUGGCACGAGAGACCAAAGAUAGUCCUUAUGAGGAAUUUUGGACUUGUAUGGUCCCCGUGGUUCCAAAUUGUUGCACGAAGAGUCCUUAUGACAUACUCCGUUUAAUUGUUGUCGUUUAUUUAAAUCACGUAACCCUCACACGAGGGUAUUUUGGUCUUUUGCUUAUCCCUUCUCUCUCUCAUAUCUUUAUAUGAUCUGCAAAAGAUUUCCCUUCCCUAUAAAAAUUAAACCCCCAUCACUUCCUUCAUUAUUUUUCGUCUCCUCUAUUCUCUCUUCUCUCUUCUCUCUGCUGUGUCUUUCUAAGAAACUUUGCUUAAGAAUGGUAAAUUGUUUUUGUGGAACGCAAGCGGUGAUAGUGACAUCAUGGAUGGAUCUCAACCCAGGUUGUAUGUUUUGGAAAUGUCCUAGCAGUUGCGGUUUCAUUGCCUGGUUUGAUGAGCCGAUGUGUCGAAGGGUUGUGGCUGUCAUUCCAGGUUUGCUAAGAUCCAUGAACAAGCUUCAAGAAUCUCUGCUGCAAGCAAGUUUUGAAGCAAAAAAAGUGAAGAUGAUGCUAGUUUUUAGUUGGGUUUUCUUUUUCAUGUAUGUGUAUAAAAGAUGCUAAUAGUAUUAGUCUGGAGAUGAUGGUUCUUUUGCUUGUGGGUAGAUGAUGGUUCUUUUGCUUGUGGUUAGAAUCAGAUAAUAGUAUUAAUUUGAAGAUGAUUUCGUUUUGUUUGUUUGUGAUGCAAGAAAUGUUCGUAUGUAUGAAUGGAAUGCUUUUUAUUUGGGAAACUUUUAGUCUGCUACCAUUGUAAAAUAUUGGUCAGGAACUUAAUGAGUGUAAAAUAUUGGUCUGCAACUUAAUGAACCGUGCAGAUCCAUUAAAGUAUAAAAUAUGAAAGUGAAAGGUUUUUGUAGGCUUUAGACCAUUGUAGAGCCAUAACAACAUUAGAAAUGUUCAAAAAUAAAAUGCAAACUUUUGCAUAGUCAUAAAGUUCAUUACAUAACCUUAAAGUGCAAAGUCAUAAUACCAAAAAAAUAUCAAAAGAGCUUGCAGACUAAUGUAUCAUAACCAAAAGAACCAUCUUAGUCUAGCACCCUGUGUGAACCAUAAUACCAACAAAAGAUAAAGACACACAAUAACCAACUUAGUCUGACCUUUCUAAGGUACCAAAACAAACAACACAAAAGACCUUUCUAAGGUUCCAUAACAAACAACACAAAAGACAACAAAUCAAACUUUUUCCUUCAUUUUGGAUUUAUCCUUAAGUUUGGUUUUCUCCUUCAUUUUGGGUUUCUCCUUUUUUCCAUCUCCCUGCUUCUUUGCCUUGCUAAGCUUCUUGCCCCCUGCCACCACAUUUCUAACUUCAGUUUGUCCCCCUUGUCCCUUGCAACUCCUAGAGUUGUGACCCUUGUUAUUGCAUUUGCUACAAGUAACUGUAAGGAACUUCUUGGUCAAACUUUUACCUUGAUUAUUUGGUUCUUCAGUUUGAGCUCUCUUUCUCUUCUUUUUUGGUCUCCCCACCUGCAUAAUUAAUAAAUUAUAAAACAGUAUAAACGUAUACUAACUUGUAAAUUGAAAAUUAUUUACCUGUUUAGUAUGCUUAGGAGGUGUUAGUGUUAUGGGGAAAUCUGACUUUGGCCACAUACUUCUUCCAUUGAUAGGUUGAACUUUGUACUUGUACAUUUCAUUCCAUGUGCUUAACCUAUAACAUGGAUGUACCCACUCCUCAAGAGGUGGGACAUUUUUUCCCAGUGCCUGCAACUACAAUUCCUGUCCCUCCAAUUAACCACAAAUUGUUCCCCCAUUGUCCCAGUAACUUGAGUCUUAUCAGCACCAUUAAAUAUGCAAGUGUAUUGAGAAGCAUCUUUCUUAACUCCAUCUAAAAGUUUUGUGGCUGGGGGGGGGAGAGGGGCNUUAUCUAUCACAUUUUGCACAAUACAAAUUCGUUUCAUUAAGUAUUCCCUAAUAUAUUCUAAACAUGUAAUUAUAGGUUUGUCUCGAGCAUCUAACAACUUUGAGAUGAAAACUUCACAUAAAUUAUUCAACAAAAUAUCUGUAUGUGCUCUUCCUGUACAAUGCAACAAAAUAUCUUAUAAGAAUCUGUCAAAGUGUAAAUCUUCCUUGAAUCUGUCAAAGUGUCUAACUGUUGUUGCUGUUGCACAUUCCCAUAAAUGAUCUCUGUGCUCCUUCCCCCUCCAUUGUAGCUUCAUGUUUUCGUGAAUAUGUCUUAAACAGAACCUGUGUUCAGCGCUAGGUAAUAGGUUGGCAAUGGCAGAUAAAAUCCCCUAAUUAACAAGUAACAAAAAUGUUAUUUUCUAAAUGUAGUAGACAAAAUUACAAAGAUGUCAUGAACAAGUAUCAUAAGAAGAUUAACCUUUUGCCUGUCAGAAAUAAAUGUGAAGUUUGAAUUUGUAGAGAGCUCCAAAUCUUCACCUAGACACUCUAGAAACCAACUCCAUGAGCUUUUGUUCUCGGCUUCAACUAUGGCAUAUGCUAGUGGGUAGAUCCGAUUAUUGGAAUCAAGACCCACAACAGUGAGAACCUAUCCAGUGUAAGGUCCCUUCAUGAAAGCCCCAUCGAAACCUAAAAAAUCUCUUAAACCUGCCUUAAAACCCAGUUUUAAUGCACCUAAACAGACAUAAAUUCUCUUAAACAUCCUAGUUUCCAAGUCUGCAUUUGGUUCACUGUAUACAUCAAUCUUCACAAUUGUUCCUGGGUUGCACUGUUGUAAUUCUAAUACGUAAUCCCUGAGAAGGCUGUAUUGCUUUUGAUAAUCUCCAUAAACAUGUUUCUGUGCAAGUUGUUUAGCCCUAAAGACCUUCAUUCUUGACAUCCCCACCUCGUAUAUCUUUUGUAACUCUACACACAAAGCUUUGACUGGGAUAGUUGGGUUUCCUUCCACUUCUUGAAGAAUGAUGGUUGUAAGAAACUUAGGCCUCAUUUGAUAGUUGCCGAUUGAGAAAGUGCUGACUGAGAAAGGUCUGUCUGGGUAAGAAAUCCUGAUUGGGUAAGAAAUCCUGUUGUUUGAUUGUACAUCUGACUGAAUGUGCUGAGUGAUGAAAAAUGACCAUUUUACCCUGCUGUUAUAUAUAUAUAUUGAUGGAUUAAAUUGCUGAAUAAUUAUAAAAACAUACAUAUUGUCAUACAAAAUGUAAAUUACACACAAAUAAAAAAUGUCAUACAAAAUGUAAAUUAAACAUAAAUCAUUUAAUAUCCAAAUAAAAACAUAAUGAAAUUUAAAAUAACAUAAUAAUUUAAUGUAAAGUAGGUGAAAGUAGUCGAUUUGCAAUCUGAUCACGCAAAACACGCAUAUAUUCAACGGCUUCUGGACCCCAUUCUAUGCCUUGUAUGUUUUCUCUAUCAAUUCCCCCACCUUGGACGUCAGGAGUAACCAUAGUGUCCUCCUCAAAAUUUCUAAACAAGUCAUCUUCUAUAUUGUAUUUCCUUAUAAAAUUAUGGACCGCGACACAAGCAAUGACUAUGUCUCUUUGCACUGUAAAAGGAUAAGGAGCCAUUUGUUUUAAGAUUGGGAAUCUCGCCUUCAAUACACCAUAAGCACGCUCAAUAACAUUUCUAAGUUGUGCAUGAGCAUGAUUGAACCUUUCUUCUCUAGUUAAAGGUCUGCCUCUUCGAAAAUCGGCUAACCAAUACCUAGUAUUGCGGUAUGGAGCCAUAAACCCACGAGUGUUUGUAUAUGCGGCAUCACAAAGGUAAUAUUUAUCUGCAAACGAAUGUGACAUAUUAUAUAAUGACACAUAUUAUAUAAAGAAGAUAGAUAAUAAAAAUUAUAUAAAGAUUACAAACCUGGUGGAGGAAAUGGAAAUCCAGAAGUCGAAUUGAAUGCAACUUCUUUCAAAACUCUUGAAUCAUGUGCUAUACCCUCCCAUCCAGCCCAAACAAAGGUGAAUAUCAUAUCAAAAUCACAAAUUCCUAUUACAUUUUGAAAACAUUCUCCUUUUCCUCUUCCUCAAUAACGAGUUUGUUGAUCAACAGGUACAACCGCACGUACAAGAGUUCCAUCUAAUGCACCAAUUGCUCCGGAAAAAAUAUUUUUUAACCGUCUAUGUCGUUCUGAGUUAUGUCUUGUUGGGUUAGGAGUUGUUGGUACUAUAAUUUCUUUUGCAAAACACAUCAUUGCUGUUAGGACCUCGUGAAAACAUUGAUGAAUCGUUUGUGUGGAGUGAUGAAAUCUUCCCUUAACCGCGCGAAAACGUUCAUUAUGUCCUAUAACAUGUAAGAAGAUAGCCAUCUUCUCUUCAAUGCUUAUUGUCCUACUAGCUUGCAACCAAUUUUUUUGGGUAAAAUGGUUGCAUAGUAAUGCAAAUGCCUCUUGUGUAAGACGCAUCAUAUCGAAACAUUGUGUAGGGUCUCCGUAUAUCAAAUCUUAUGUAUACGCAUACCCGCUUGAAUCGUUAUCUCUAAUUCUAAGAAUUCUGAUUAGUCUGCGCCGGUUUGACCUCAACCAAUAAAACACAAGUAAAAGAAAAGCUACAACUUCACCAUCAGAAACCAUACUUGAUCUAUUACAAACAAUUAGGUAAUAUGUUAAAGUAAAAAAAAAAUCAUGCACCAAAAAAAUUAGUAAACAUCAUUAAAAGUAACAAAAGUCGUAUAACAAACGUUGUAUAACAAAAUACUAGUAAACAUCAUCCAAAAAAGUCAUCAAACUAUAUAACAGUAAACCAAAAAGUCAUCAAACAUAGGAUCCAAAAAACUAGUAAACAUCAUCCAAAAAAAGUCAUCAAACAUAGGAUCCAAAAAACUAGUAAACAUCAUAAAAAAAACUAGUAUCCAAACUUUUCUACCCGCACCUAUCAAAGGUAACUAUACUUCCUACCCGCACCCAUCACCCACGACUCACAACUACUAUGCGAAAGUCGUAACCAAACUUUUCGAACAUCAGCACUUUCACCAAAUAGCAAAAGAGCGGUCUUGUGUCUUUCAUCUUCUUCUCCCCAUUCCAUUUUGUUCAAUUUCUCCAUACACGCAUCAACAUCCUUAUCCAUUUCACUUUUUUCAAUUCUUUCAUUUUUUUUCCACUAAUAACCUUACAAUCUUGACAAUCUCCUCUUCAACUUCUAAUGCCCUUGCAUCUCUUUUUUUUCCACCAACUCUUUUGUUUCCACCAACUUCCUUAUUUUUGAACGCCCCGAAGAUUCUUCACUUGCACCUACGUGUUGUGUUGAGGUUUCCAUUAGAACAUCAUCAUCAAAAUCAUGGGGACUAAACUCUUCUACAGGACAAGGGAGUGUAGAAGAUGGCCCCCAACUUUGAGAUCCGGUUGAUGUCAACCCUUCAAAUAGUUGGGUGCAAAGAUCAGGGAACAAUAGGGGUUUAGUUUUCAAUGACAACACGAACUUGUUCAACUGUUUACAAUUUUUAUAAAUAUUAGUAUAUGUUAUAAAAAUAAUCAUAAUAGUAUUGAUUAAAAAAAUAAAUUUAAUCAAAUAGUAUAUGUUAUAAAAAUAAUCAUAAUAGUAUUGAUUAAAAAAAUAUUACCUUCCCCUCUUCUUUCCAUUGUUCAUCGGUCAAAUUAAAUUUAUUUUUUAUAGGAUCAUAUAUAUUGCCGGUUUUGUUUUUGAGUUUCACCCAAGCAACAUACUUUGAUUUGUAGUAGUCAAAGUGGUUUCUCAUUUGCUUCUGAUCAACCUCUUUACCGUGUUCGUUUAUCAAUUUUUCGCGUAUUGUCUUCCAUGAACUUGCCUUAAGCCCAGAACCCUCACGACCAUUAGUGGUUAGUUCAUGGAUACAUGCAUCAAGAAAAGUUUUGUCCUCACUCUCGUUCCAAACCAACAUCCUAAAACAUUAAUAUUUAAAGUAAUUUAUCAUAGUUUUUAUCAAGUUAAAGAACAAUUUUAAACAUAAAGCAAUUUUCAACCAAGGAAGUUAACAUCAUCCUAAAUUAUGAUUUGAUAACUUAUACACAAACAAUUUCAGAUGUCACAAAACAUCAAUAUUCAAGCUAACAAUUUCACAAAAGAUAACAAGCUAACAAUUAAGGUCAACAAUAUCAAAGCUAUAAAAUUAGAAAGAAAAAAAAAACAGCCCAAUUUUUGAUUUUAUAGCUUAUACUUUUGAUACUAAUACAAGCUCAAUAAUUGGAAGACAUGUGAUGUUGCAUGCAUUCCCCCUCUCGCCCACUCUUCAAGGAACAAUUGGAUUAUUAAAAAAGUUAGGUUACCAUUAAUCUUAUAAUAAUUAUUUAUUAUUAAUUUUACUUUUGUACUUUACACAUAAAAACACAACNAAAACCAAAAAAAUAAAAAAAAAAAAAAAAAAAAAAAAACAGCCCAAUUUUUGAUUUACAAACCUACUUGUAUUUUCCAAUUCACAUUCAAUUUCAAUUCACAAGCUAUAAAAUCAAAAUUCAAAAAAAAAACCUUCCAAUUCACUUUCAAUUUCAAUUCAUAAGCUAUAAAAUAUGAACCGGAGAAAAAAACUUCCAAUGUGAAUUGGAGAAAAAAACUUCAAAUUCAGAAAAAAAAACAAAAAAACAAAAACAAAAAACAACUACCAAUUCACAUUCUAUUUUAGAAUUCAUAACAUUAGAAAAAAAAACCUUCAAUUUUCAGUUCUUAUACACAAAGAACUACAAAACAAAACAUAAACAAACUUCCAAUUCACAUAUAAUUUCGAAAUUCAUAUAUUAGAACAAACAAUUUCAGAUUUCAGUUCUUGUACACAAAGAACUACAAAAAAGAACAAAAAAAGCUUAUCAUAUGAACAUACAGGUUGAGAAUUCAUAAUAUUCUAACAUAUACUAAUUUGAUUUCAUAAAGAACUACAAAUUUCAUACCAUCAAAGCAUAAAUGGUAUCUGAUUUUGAAAAUUAUUAACAGAAAAAUUAUCUAACCUGUGUGAUGGAUCGAGAAGGCGUCACUGAUGGCGGUGGCGGAGGUCCGACGAGAUGGCACAGGUCCGACUGGUCGGACUGUUUGGCGUUCAAUGUUGUGGAGUUCUUCCUAGCGGCUGCUGUGCUUUUAGGUCACUAGAAGGGAAGCGAAUGGGGAAAGAAAUAAUAACGACGCAGGGGCAAGAUAAGGGCAAGAUUGUCUAAUUUCCAGUCAGCAACUGUUUAAAAACUGAUCCAGAAAGCGAUUUGGGUCAGCAGAUCUUACCGAGAAAGCUCAAAUCAAACACCAAAGGUCUGACCGAGUCAGCCCAAUUUGCUGACUCGACCCAGUCAGACAUUUAUCAAACACUCCCUUAGAAGUGCACUCUUUAAUAGACCUUGACUGCACACAUCUAUGCUCAUGAACCAAAGUUUUCACCAUCCAAUCGCUUUCUUCAUCAGAUCUAGAAAUUAAUACCACCCAAGGGCAUGUUGCUUUUUGUGAGCUGACUGUUUUAUCCUUGCAUUUGAUUCUACUUUUUGUCCAUGGCCCACCUGUCAUUUUCGGGACCACACCCCUGCAUUUUGCCCUAAUUCUUUUUUUUUUAUCAUUUUUUGAAAAGUAAAUGUUUCUCCUAGUUCGAAUUGAAUGCAUUUUAAUGUAGUCCUUCACUUCUGAUGAGGACUUAAAUAUUUGACCCAGAUGGAAUGCAGUUUCAUGUACUACUCCUGAUGAACAUGUGGUUGGUUUGUUUAACCUUCUCAUUAAUUUCUUCCUCUCAUCUUCUUCUACACCAGUUGAUUCAAAUAAUUGUGUAUCUAUCACCUCCAAAUCCUCAUCAACUGUGACAUCAGGUGCAUUGAAUGAUUGGUGGUUAUCUAGAUUUGGAAAAGAAUAAACACCACUGUGGAAGUCUUUCAUAUUCACUUCGACAUCCUCCACCAUAUUAAGUUCAUCCACUAAAAAGUCACUAUCGUCGCUUAUACUUCCAUCGGUACUAGUCUCAUCACUAAUAACAUCUCCAAUUUCUUCAUUUUCCCCCAUCUGUUGGUAAUCAUUAUGAUCCAUAUAAAAGAAAGGAUCAAAGUCUUCUGAAGGGACAACAUCUUGGGCUUUGUUAAGCUCCUCACUUGCAGGAUGAACUCGAACAUCUUUCACUACAUCUCUAUCAAAAUGUCCAAAAGGUACAACAGACCUAGAAAAGUCAUAGUUCUCAUUCAAGUCCAUUUUUCUACUACAUGAUCCUACCUUUGUACUUGUAAACUUUUUUCGAUUGAGUUCCGGAGAAAUAGGCUCAUUGAUUUCUUCCGAUACGACCUUAUUUGGAGAUAUAAAGUAUGCAUGGAGUCUAGUAGUUCCAUGUUCAGUAUACACCAUAAUCUCUUUAUGAUUAGCAACAUGCUUACUUAACAAAAGUACGUCUGAGUUGUUACCUAAAGGAAGUAACCCAUAAUCGAUUUCAAUCUCAGGAAUCAAGAAGUGGUAGUAGAUAGGCUCACCGUUGAUAUAACCUAUCUCCUUCAUCAUAUCGUCUAACUCAUGUACGGAAAACACGUCCAUGUCUACGUAGUCAACAUAGUCAAUACUCCCACCAACGUAACGUCUUCCUGGGUAUUUUGUGAACAUACCCCCAUGGUGAAUCUUGAAUGUGCAAAAACUACUUAACUCAACUGAAAAACAAAUAAAUAAUGAUAUGAGGAAAGAAUGAAGUCUCAAAAUUGAAUGUGCAUAAAUUACUUAACAAAAUUGAAAGUUGUUAACUGAUCACUCACCAUAAGCUUUGAUCAGGUCAGGAUUUUCUGAGAAUUUUGAACGGACAUUCCACAAAGUUAGAACGAUCGCAAAAGAUGAAAAUGAAAACCCUAGUUUCCGUUUGAUGUUUUGAAGUGAUGAAGAUGAAAAACCAGAGGAGAAAAGAAAGGGAUGAUUUCUUGGGGUAAUGUAAAUGGCAGCUAGAUGUAAGGAUCAUUUAUGAAUAUGAUCAUUUCGUGUAACAAAGCAAAAGACCAAAAUACCCUCGUGUGAGGGUCACGUGAUUUAGAUAAACGGAAACAAUUAAACGGAGUAUGUCAUAAGGACUAUUCGUGCAACAAUUUGGAACCAUAGGGACCAUACUCGUCCAAAAUUCCUCAUAAGGACUAUCUUUGGUCUCUUGUGCCAACCACAGGGACCAUCUGUGUAAUUUUGUCUUUUUUUAAAGAUAGUUCAUAAUUUUUCUAUUAUAUACAUUGUAAAUGAAAUUGAGAACUUAAGUAGGUCCUAGGACCUACCUAAGCACAUGGUGGAUACGCCCCUGUUACCCACACUAACCUCAUACACUUACAACACAAAUGAACUUGAACGGUCUAAGACCAAACCAAGAUAUAAUAUGAAAUGUGUAAGUAUAGUUUAAUAGAUGAAAGUGAGGUGUUGUUUGGGCUUGAAAAGUAGGGGUGAGCAUGGUGCGAUUUUUUGAGAAAACCGAACCGCAAACCGCAAGAUGCGGUUUCUAUAGGGUAAAACCGAUAGGUGUGGUUUUUGUUUCGGCGUGGUUUUACAUGCAUUUUCGGUGUCAUUCGAUGCGGUUUCGGUUUUUAACUGAAAAUAUGUGUUGGUGUGAUUUUUCAUACAUGUGUUGAUCUACCAAAGAAGUAAUAACCCCUAAAGAAGCUAGAGCAAGGCCUAAUUGAAAAUGAAGCCAAUUAUUAAUUGUGUCAUAAAGACCCUCAUGCCCACGUCUCAAUCGCCCUCUUGGAGGGAUAUGUGCAUCUAAAAGAUCUUUCAUACUGUGCCCAAUCCCAAAAUUAGUUCUAUACAUAUGCCCAACAAUAAGAAAAAGAAAUGCAAUAGCUAAAUAAUGAUGAGUCAUAUCAGCAUGUCCAAACCCGACUUUUCAGUUAACUUUCCUUUAUUUCCGGUACAGAUUCUCAUUUAAAUGUAUUUAACAUGCUUGUGAAAUAGUUAUAUGUUAUUCUUAUCAAAAUAUAGACUUCUUUAUGAUAUUACGAUUUUGAGAUUUGAAUUAUAUGUUUGAUGCAACAAGGGAUUUGGUUUUAUAAUCUCAAAUUCCAUUACUUAAUCAUUAUUGUUUAUACAGAUAGAGGCGGCUUUUGAUUCGAAUUGCAUUUUGCUUGUGAUAAGCAAAAGGAAAAUUGUUAAUGGUACGCACUUUGAUACAAAUGUCAAAUUUUAUAAAAAUAUAGCAAAACAUAAGGCAUGCACAGUGGCAAAAAGAACUGAAGAGGUCGAAGUUGAACAAAAUAUACUUUUAUUAAUAAGUAUUAUAAUAUAUUAAAUAUUGUCAGGUUUUUAUGGUGCUGUUUGGCAUUGUCCAAACCGCACCACACCGAAAAAUUACCAAUUAAGGUUGGAUUGGAAUGCAUAAUUAUCAAUUUAUCCUUAAUAAGUCAUAAAUCAACAAAAAUGGCCCAACAAUUUUCUUAAUCUUAAUUGUUGCCUUUGGAUUAGAAAUCAUCAACGAUCAAGAUUGGUUCUCACAAUUCUCUAAUCUCUACUUUUAUGUUGUUUUCAUUUGAACUCAACCCAAAAAUCUCACCAGUAAUCACCACACGAACAAAUCCCGUUCUUGAAAUGAUGAAACCUAUUUGUAUCCCGAAGAAUAAUUUCCCGCUCAACAAUCUUGGAAAUAAGCUUAGCAGCAAUAUGACAAUCCUCACAAACACGUAGAUUUUUAGUAAUCCGUAUAGGCGUAAAAGCUUUAGUAUUUAUAAUCACAAACACAAUAGCAAGCUUCUCACUAUGAACAGCAAGAUGAUUUCCUUUAUCUUCAUCUUCUAUAUCAUGAAGUGCAGAAUCCACUUCAGGAACAUACCCAAAAUCCCUCAUCUUCCCCACAAGUACUUCCAACUCUUGAUAAAUCUGUUUAGAUUGUGGAUGGGAUUGAUCUCCAGCAAGAAACGAAUGAACUUGAUUAUUAAGCUCAACAUUACUAACACCGGGCUCUUUUUUCACUCCUUUUGAUUUCAUUAUUGAACGAAUAUUUGUCACAUCUUUAAAUCUACCUGCUUUUGCGUAUAUAUUUGAUAAUAAAACAUAAUACCCUGCUUGUUCAGGGACCAAUUCAAAGAGAUGAUCUGCUGCUACAAGACCAAUUUCCAUGUUGGAAUGAACUUUACAAGCACUUAACAAAGCACCCCAGAUUCUAUCGUUUGGUUUUGUUUUCAUUUUCUUUAUAAAAUCAUAAGCUUCAUUGAUUCUUCCUGAUCUUCCUAGCAAAUCAACCAUGCACGCCAAGUGUUCGAGUCUUGGAAUGAUGUUAUACUCUUCGGUCAUCAAUUUGAAGAAAUGUUUUCCUUGGUUUAGUAAUCCGGCAUGGCUGCAGGCUGAUAGAACUGGAACGAAGGAAAUGGAAUCAGGGGCGAUUCCGGAAUUUUGCAUAUUUGAAAAGACUGUGAUAGCAGUUUCACCAUCUCCAGUCAUGCCAUAAGCAGAGACCAUGGAAGUCCAGGAGACGACAUCUCUUGUUGGCAUUUCAUCGAACACCUUGCGUGCUUCGUUUAAAGACCCACAUUUAGCAUACAUGUCAAUCAAGGCGUUCUCUACUGUUAGAUUAGGAAGAAGCCUUUUUGUUUUUACAUAUGAAUGAAUCUUUCUUCCUAGUAAUAAAGCUGAAAGAUCUCCACAAGCGGGUAGGAUGCUAGCAACUGUGAUUGAAUCCGGGUCGAUUCCGUAAUUCUCCAUUUGUUGAUAAAGAUUAACUGCAUCUUUAGGCAUCGAGUUGUUGACGUACACAGCUAUCAUGACAUUCCAAGAAAUUAAACUCUCUCGAGCGUGAUUCAUGAACAUUUCUUUCAUAAACAUCACGUUGGUAGAUGAAGUAGAAGUUGUUAAAGCAGGGGAAAGGCUGGCCAUGGUGCCUGCGUUGGGUUUUGAGGUAGAACAUUGCAUCAUUGUCUUACAAAUCUCCAAUGCAUCUUCAAACAUCCGGUUUUGGGCGUAGGCAGCAACCAUAGCAUUCCAGGAGACGAUAUCUCUACUAGGCAUUUCAUCAAACACCUGGCGUCCUUCCAGUAACCGGUUACAUUUUCCAUACAUUGUAAUCAAUCCAUUCCCUACAUAAAGAUUUGAAUGCAGACCCUUCUUGAGAACAGCAACAUGGGUUUGUAAUCCGACCCACAAAUUCUCAGACACGGAACAUGCUUUUAGAACUUGAGGAACUGUAAAAUGAUCAGGGUUAAUGUUGAACUUGAACAUGUUUCUGUACAUACGAAGUGCUUUUUCGUAGAAUUCAUUGUUUACGUAGCUUCUAAUCAUCACAUUGAAGAAGACUACAUCUUUUUGAGGAAAUUCAUCAAACAGUUGGCGGGUAACUGCGAUUUGGCGACAUUCAGAAUAAGCUUUCAUUAAUUUCAGAGCAAUAUGCGAUGCUGAGACGAGGUUUCCAUCAAUAAUUAACCUACAAUGUAUCUUUUUCAAUUGUUUGAUAUCUGGGCACUUGUCCAAGAUUUUGAUACACAAGUCUUCUGUGAUUAACAUGAUUGUUAAGGCGAGAUUUGAAUGAAUUUGAACUUAUAUUCCUUUCGCCAUGUUGUACCUGAGGGGCAAUCAAAUAGAAUGGACGAAGAUAACGAAGGUUUACUUGGUGGUGUUCACUUAAAAACAAGAAAUAUGAAGUUCUAAACGCUAUUUCUUGUUAAACAGAAAAUAUUUUGUCCAAUCUAAAAAUCCAAUUUUUGAGUAAGUUCAAGCUUAAGCUCAAAAAUAGUAAGCAAAACAUGUUUAAAAAAUAAAAGUUCGUUUGAAACUCUUUGGAUAGCUCGAGUAUAACAAUCAUCAUAAUUAUAGUCAAUAAAUCAGGCUCAAACAACCAAACUUGAUGUCCAGCCCUUGAUCAUCCAAUUGCCAACUGAAAUCAACUUAGUUUCCGGUUUUAGAAUCGCCCUAACAUUACAUAAGCACCAACUAGUUCCAAAAGUAGUUUUUAAUUCAAUGUCUCCCAUACCCGUGACUUCAAGGGUUUCCAUGUUACCCAACCUUACCAACUUAAGAUAAGUUCUUUACUUCAAUUACUAUAACAGAUCGAUGAGUCAUGUUCUAAUGACCUCUCGUCAUAUGAUGCAAUGCUUAGACUCGAGUCUUUUAAAGUCAAAUUCUAUAAUGAAAUAUACAUUCCUUCAAGUUUCUAAUGUGAUAUAAUCACAUUCUAGCAUGUAUCACUUCUAGCUACAAGCUUCUUACUUUAACAACAAUCACAAUACUUCUAUUGAUCGCUUUGAUUAUCUUUCAGUUCAAUCUUCUGGCUUAAGUCAGAUGCUACAUCGAUCUUGGUUCUCUGAACCACGUACAAUACUUAUCCUAGCUGUAAUCGAUUUGAUAUGACCACUAGGGUCGGAAUAACAAUCAUCUUCUUAGUCAUUACCGAAAUUAUGGUAAUGACACAUGAACAAAACAGAAUCAAUUACUAGCGUCUUGGUAACUCGUGACUUUCCCUGAUCCAAGUGCGAGUCGUGUGCUUCCAGUAGUAUAUGCCUCUACUACCUUUCACACCUACUCAUACUUGUCCCAAGUAUUGUCUUUCAGUUCUCCAAGUCACCAUAAAAGAAUUUCACAUAGUCAUUUAACACAUCGAAUAACAAAACUAAGGUUUAUAUUAUUUCUUGAAACGAUUACAUAGAUAUUCAAGUUCACCUUAUACCAUGCCUUUUAUAUUAGGCUACACCACAUGAUACUAUCUAUAUGGCUACUUUAUAUCUCGAUCUUCAGAUAUAUAUAGAUCCCUACUCCUAAUCCCUUGUAUCGUCACCUGCUUCAUCCAGGUUAGACUUCGAGAAUCUUCCUUUCUUAUCGAAUCUUGAGGAUCCCUCAAGCUUCUUCUUUUCUCAUGCCUUGUCUUAUUCCAGACCCUUUUUCCUAAAUUAGGUUUCCAUAUUCUUGGUUGCUCUAACGGUUGUCUUCAAAGUAGUUGCCAUUUUUACCAUUGCGCCAAAUUAUGCUGGCAAUCCGUUAGCAAAACUAUCUAUCUUGGAGAGUUCAGUAGCACCAAGUAGGGGAAUAACUUCAUCUGCUCGGUGAAUACGGUGACAUACUCAUCAACACUCAUCUUCCUUUUCUUCAAGUUCGAAACUCGUUGUUUAGGUCUAUCAGAUCUAUCUCUGAGCAGUAUUGCAUUUUCAACUGCUCCAUGAAUGCUUCCCACCUCAGGGCUUCUCCCCCAUGGCUUUGUAUCUGCCAAUAACUUCCACCAACUUAAAACUCUGGUCUUUAGUUGUCUGACUGUAAAGACGGUUUUCUGCUUGUUGCUGCAAUUGCAACUUUCAAAUGUCAUCUCUAUCUCGGAGAUCCAAUCCAUGAUCUCUACUGGCUUCGGGCUUCCAGAAAGACUUGGUGGUUUGGCACCUAAGAAGUUCUUAUACAUACGUUCAUCCUUAUCAAUCGCUUUUUUCGGGUCGUUCCUCCUUGCCACUCGGGGUUCAGCUUGACUCACUGUACGACUGUAAUUUCCCUCCUCCGACAAUUCUUCAUUCAGUUCGGGUUGCACGAUAGGCACAAUAGGUUCAUCCCUAUUAUCAAGAAACAUUUUUCUCAUCUCCUCCCUUUGUUCGGCCAUCAUAGCCCAAAUCAUUGCUUAGACUCUUGCCAUCGUGAUUGGCUCGGGUGCAGCUACUACCUCUGGUGCACAUUUAAUCACUCGUGGUUCAGGCUGUUAGUUUUCAUUAGCAUUUUCUAAUAUGUUGCGAGUUCUCACCAUUUCGAUCUAUACACUCUAGAGAUGUUCAGUGUACAGUGACGAGAAUUAAGAUAUGGAAAGCUUUAUUUACGACAGCCAUAUAAAUCUUCUUAUCACUCGUAAAAGUUAUAUACUAGUUCUAAUACCGUAAUUAAAUGUUUGGAAAUUUUGAGCAAAUGACGGUUCAUCAACAAUAGAGCGAAUCUCAUUUAGGAAUUCGUUGAUAGGUCGAUUUCCUUUAGGAUUUUUAGCAAGUUUGGAUUUUAAAGAGAUGAUUCUUGAGCAGGAGGUGCUGGCAUAGCUUGUGUUGAGAUGCUUUCAUGCUUCUUUUGUGGUAAAUACAGAGGUAAUGAUAGGUUGAAUGAAUUGCAUCUGAGCAUGAACCAAGAAUUGCAUCGAAUACUACAUGAUCUUGGCGAUAGCAAGUCGUGUAUUCAUGAUUAGGUUUGGAUUUGUCUUUGUCGAUAAUGAAUUUUGUGGUAGGAUCAGUCACCCAUGUGAUGUAAUCUUCCAGACCUAGUCCAAUAAAUGUGGACUGCACUUGUCGCCUCCAUACAUGGAAGUUGUUGGUGAGUAAUUUGGUAGGAAAGUGACUUGAGGCGGUGAUUUGUAUUUGGGAUGAUUGUGUCAUGGUGAUGUUGAUGAAAAGGAUUAGAGGAGAAAGGCAAGAUGAUCGAUUGACUCUUUAGAGUGUGUGUGCUCUGAUACGAUAUGAGAUUUGAGAAUCAAUGGGCUCGAAUGAAUAAUUUCAUUUACAAAGAUCGAUACAUAUAUAGAUGGUAACGAGAGUUAAAGAGCUAUACAUGGAAUUUACUAAGAAUAGAUUGCAAUUACAUACAAAUAGAAGAGAUUAUUGUAGAUUAGUCAUGAAGAUGUGUACGAUGUUAUAGUUAGAUUGCUUAUUUGCAAUCCAUGUUAGCUAAGUAUGUCAUGUUGAAUACAAAUUGUAUUAAAACAUUAAAGUUCCAACCAUUAUAUGUUGAAGAAGAAGCAAAUACGCCUUAGUCACACCCAUUCUAAAUGAUAUGGAUGUUAUGGUUGUCGUUUCUAUGCAACCAAAUCGUGAUUCCAAGUUGCAGUUGUCUUACCAAUAUAUCAUGUUAGGAAAAGAUGACAUAGCAUGAAAUAUUGUAUGUUACAACAAAAAGAUAUAUCUUAUAGAUGUCUUGCACAUGGGUUAUUCCUUUUUAAGCACUUAUAUAAAAAUAAUAUCACGUAUGUAUGAUAUCUAUUUUGAGAGAUUUUUAGCAAGCAACUCUUUGUCUAUUAUUGUUAUUGGAUAGAAAAAGUAUCAUCUUCGUUGGGAAGAUUUUACUAGGAUUAGAUUCAUAAUAGUUUGUCAAAGAUUUUACUAUUAUGUAUUUAUAAACCCAUGAAGUUUUCUAUUAAAUAAAUAAAUAAAUAACCAUUCACCAUUUAUAUCUUUUUGGAAUAGAGUUUGUUAAAUUCUAAUAUAAAUAAAAAGAGUAUUUAUUUAGAUUCACACAUUACAAAAUUACAAACUCCAAGCAUAAAUCCGAAACUUAUUUUUAAACUUCUUCAUUUAUAUUACAAGUUUUAUUCUUUUUUCCCAACCCACUUGGGGUUUCGAAACCCUAAAAAAGUUCUAUCCAUGGAAGUUCAUAUUUAUUUCUUAUCUUAAUGAAUUUAAGGUCUAAAUCAAUAAAUGGCAAUGUAGAAUUAACCGCAUAUAUUAAGUUAUUUUUGGAAGCUUUCCAACACAACACAGAAAGGAAAUGAUGAGAAUUUAUGGUACCAAAUAACAAAAUAAUCCCGGUUCCUAUAAAAAUUUAUUAAAGCUCUACUCAUGAUUUCAUAAUCUCCUCUAAUAUGAGGGUUACGUUAUUGUAAUAAUAACUAUGAUAAUGUAAAAGCCAUAACAUAAAUCGUCUUAAUUUAAGAAAUAAUAUAAAUCCCAAGAUAUUGUUUUUAAAAUAAAAAGGAAAAAAGUGGGAGUCCAUUAGAAGGAGCCAAGCUGAUUAUUUGAGCCAAGAGAGCACCGAUUUGUUAUCCUUCCACUGUUCGAAGCGAGAGGUUAUCGCAGCUCUGUGAAGCCAGCCUAACGCAUUGCCCUCUGCUCUAGGAACCAAGAAGCCCAAGCCUUCGCUCAAGCCACUUGAUCCAACUCCGAACUUGGAACGGGCAAACCAGAUUUUGCAACAGCUUUGACCCAACCAAACAAGGCUCGAUCUCAGUCCAUCCCACUUUAGAGCCCUCACUUGAGUCACAAGCUCGCGUUACCAAGCUCGGCGAUAAACGAAGUCCAUUUGAUGUAUAAAUAAUCGGAAAAACUUUCUCCUCCAAGCGAUGUGGGAUGCGAAACGAAAUAUUUUCAUCUUCAUUCUCUCUUUAUCUCUGUCAAAUACUGUGAUUACUGAUUACUGACUACUUAAACACCCAUGCAACGGAUUUCAAGUAUUUUUUUCAAUCCAUGGAUUUAGAACUGUAAACUGAAAAAAGAGAUUGUGGAAUAGUUUUGGAAACUGGAAUUUGUUUACAAGUUUUUCGUGAGGUGUAAGUGAUAAGAUAUGAUAUUUGAGUAAUUGGAAUCAUUCUCUCGAAGAUUCAAGUAUCAAGUAUGAAACUUAGACAAUAUAUAUACCUGUUUUCUUCUCUUUUUUCUGUCUACGAACCGAAUCCAACAUGAUUUCUCUACAAAAUCCGUGUCUUAAUCCUAAUUAACACUCACUAACCGGUUACCCCUCCAGAUGUUGCAGAAAUUUUCUUGAAUUAUCUCUUUUGUUUUUCACAAUUCAAUGUCGGUUGCUCCCUUUCUCUCUGAUUCAAGUAUUCAACCACCGCCAAAGACUUGAGAAAGUGGAGGAGUUUAUCAAUUAAAUGAGUUUAUAUGCUUUCCAACUUUUCGUAAAUUGCAAGUUACUCCCCGUACCUUUCGAAAAUCUUCCUUUAACAAUUGUGGAAAGUUGUUGAAAUUUGAAAAUAAAAUAAAAAUUAUAGUCAAGGGGAUCGUUUUAAAGGUUUCCAGGAGAUACUUUUGUUGAUAUAUUUUUGAAUAAAAAGUUAAUUAUAUAAUAGAUUUUUACCAAAUAAUGUGGAUAGCUAAAAAUGUGAUUAUGGUUUAAAAAAGAAAUCUAAUAAAUAAAGAUUAAAUAAAGAAGUUAUGUUUUAAUAUAACUAAAUUAAUGAUGGUAUUGUGUUUGAUGAAAGGACUAAAACUGAACAAAGAAAAAAUAUUUGUGUUUCACUCACAGAUACUAGCAAUUGAUGGGUCUUAAAUGAAAAGGAGUUGGAUAAGGAAUAAAAACCUUGUAGACGUUCACACUUUUCUCUUUUGAUCAAAAUCUUAUUUAUAAAUUUCAAAAUUUGAUUCAAACCUGUUGUAUAAUUUUAAAUAAUUAAACUCAUAAUUAAAAUUAUACUCUUAUCCAUAAGUUAAUAGAUAUCUUGACUCAUUUAUAGUAUUAUAGAUUACAAGAUUGUUGUGCACGUCACAAAGUAUCAUCCAUAAUAUAUAACAUGAUAUUUUACUUAAUACUAAAUAUACGACAAUUCAAAAAUCAUAUUUUACUAAAUACUUACGAUAACAUUUUUUUUUAAAUGGAUGUCUAUUAUAACAAAUAUGCAUGAGACAACGUAGUCGUCAAGAUAAAUCAUAAACAAAAUAAAUGUCUACUGUAGAAAACAUAUGUUUAACAUAUAUCAAUUGCACUUAGAAAAUAUUUACACUCUCAUAGUAUGCGUUCGAUAGGGAGAAAGCAUCAUAAUCAAUUGGUGAUUUUUUUGGUUGACGUGGUUAUGUGUUUGAUUAGAGAAGAAAGCAAAUAGUAUGAUGUCGAUUGAGGAUUUCUUGAGUUACAAAUAGGGUUAAUGUCAUAAAAAUUCUCAAGCUUUCAGGGUUUUGUCGGUUUUGCCCAAAGUUUAAUUUUAUGUCCGUUUUUACCCUAACAUUUUCCAAAAAAUGUUCGUUUUUACCCUUUUACCGGUGAUAACAGGUUACCAUUAUAUUAGUUUCGCAAAAAAACCCUUAAGUUUAUAGUUUUUUACGUUUUUACCUGUAAGUUUAUAUUUCUUUUACACUUUUACCCUUUGUAUUUUUUUUUUUCAUAUUAUAUGUAUUCAUAAAGAAAAAAUAUAUUUAUAUACGAAAUUUUUUUAAUUAAAUAUUGUAUUUACAUUUUUAUAAUGUUAUUUCUUCAUAUAUAUAUAUAUAUNNUAUAUAUAUAUCAAUAAAAAACAUAAUGAAUCAUAAACAUGUUUAUAUAAGUAUAUACAUAUAUUUUUAGAAGUGUAAAUAUGUAUUUUGAUAUAUGUUUUUUUUUAAGUAUAAAUAUAUUUUUAGAAGUAUAUAUACAUAUUUAUAUAUAAAAAUGUAAAAAUAUGUAUUUAUACUUUUAAAAACUAUAUCUAUAAAACACGUAUUCAUAAUCUUGUAAAAAAAUGUGUGUUAGGAUCUUUUGAUCGCAUUCCGAUCUUAUGAUCACAAUCUUGUAAAAUACAAAAAUAAUCGUAUGUAAGAUUUCAAUUUUGACAAUCUUUAUUUGAAGGAAUAUUAAAAUCAUAAAAUUAUGUUAAUGUGUAACUUGGAACUUGGUGACCCGACCCAAAACAAAGUCAAGAAACCCGACAUCAAAUAUCGAUGGGAUAAAUGUUUGGAAUAAGCUUAGGGUCGAUAGGCCCUAAGUCGUUGGUAAUAGAAGAAUUUUUCAGUUUCCGGCUCCCUACCUAUGAAGUAUGUCAUAUCGACCAAAUCAUAUUAAAUCUAUGUGUCAUUUUAUUGUUGCUUUUUUGCAUAACAAAUUGAAUACUUAAUCUCACAAAAUCAAAAACCUAACUUGAAUAUGAUCAUUGUCGUUGAUACAAUAAAAAUAUAAACCAACAAAACCUUGGAAUUCGGAUUGAAUCCACAUGGAGUUCGUAGUUAAAUUAUGUGUUUGAAAGAUUCAAUUAGCUAACCAAAGAUGCAAGAAAACUAAUCACUUUUGGAACAAUCAAAUUUGAAAUCCAAAGGACAAAAAUGUGCCAAUCAUAAAUUAGGAAUUUAGAAAACCAAAAGUGUAUUGCAAUCAAUUUCUAAAUUGAAUGACCAAAAAUAAUGACCAAAUCUCGCAUUAACUAAACAUUUGAAUGUAGUUAUUUAAUUUUUAUUGUAGCAUAGAUACAUAGACAUGAUCAAUAAAUCUUCUUAUUCUAAUAAAUGAAUAAGUUUAUUCUCAUGUUGACAAGUCUUCUCUAAUAAAUGAAGGUUUUUUGUCAUUUGUUACAUUCUCAUUCAAAUUGUUAAAUGUCAUUUUGUGGUUAUUUUGAAUUAAUUUUUUUCCCACAUAUCAUUUUAUGAGUUUUUCUAUUUUAUUAAAUUCCACAUAAUAUUUUAACAUAAUAGUUGUAAUAAAUGUAGUAAUAAACGGAUAUUAAUUUCACUAAUAAACUUACCUUUUAAUUUCAAAAUUCCCAAAAUUAAAGUUCAUUCGUUUCUUUUCUUUAUUUAAAUUAUGUGUUUAAAUUUAAAAGAUAAAAUACAUUUCCAUUAUAAUAAAUCAUUAUUUUUCUUAUUUUCUUAUAAAUUCAAAGUUCUCAAAUAUUUUGACAUUUAUAUUUAACAUUUUUUUUAAAUAAAUUCAUAUAAUACAUGGGUCUCGCAACUAGUGGCAUACUGUUAGAAAUCUUCAUUAAUAUUAUAUGUCAUCUAUCAUGCCACAUGUCAACCUAUUAAUUCUCCAUUUUAAAUUUUAAAAUUUAAAUUUUCCACUCUAAUUACAUUAAAUUAGAUUAUUUAUUUCAAAUUUUAAAUUUCACAUUCUAAUUACACUAAAUUAAUAACAUUAGAAUAAAAAAUAAAAUAAAAUUAAUAUAUAUUAUAAGGUGAUAUAAUUUAAUGUAUUUAUUUAAAUCAACGAUUAUAAUUUAUAUAACUAAAAAAAUAUCUCUUAAUUAAUAAUUUAUUUGAAGUAAUUGAUUAAUAAUUUUAAAUUUACUAUGUUUAUAUUAAUUUUAUAAUUAUAAUUCUCGCAGAUUAUAAACUAGUUAGUAGAAUAAAAUGACAAACUUUAGGCAUAACCCUUGAUAUGGCCGUAAAAUAGUGUUAACUCCAAAUCUAGGUGGAGCUCGGCACGAUAUAUCACAAUAAUAUUAACUUCAAACAAUUUAAAAAUAAAACUUAUGCAUAAAGUACGAGAAUAAAUUGUUGGGUUACAAAUAAAAUAUUGAAAGAGAAGAGGUUAAAAAUGGCCAACUAAAUGUGUUUGACCAUAUUUAGGGAGGAAGGAGUUGUUUCCCUCCUCCUGCCGAAACCGCUAAACCUUAGUCGGAGGGUAUCGAACCCAUCCAACCCCAAAACCACCGACCCCAUCUUCUUCAACUUUCCAACUUUGAGUUGUCUCCCCAGUGGGUUUCUCAAACCGUUAAACCCCUCUCUUUCUCUCUUGCUUUCAUCCCUUUCCUCCUCUAACCCGCUAUGACUCCUUCAUCCCUUAGUCACUCAACUUAUUUUUGUCUACUAAGAUAAGAAACUUUUCAAAAUCAUCAACUUUUAUCCAUUCAACUUAUUUUGUCAAUUUUUAGGUAAUGAUUUUAACUCAUUGCUCGCCUUUGUGCUUCUAAGAUGAAGUAUCUUGCAUAUUUUGGAGAAAGCAAAUAAGAAUAAAGUAUGUUGCUAAAUCUGGUCCCAAUAAACAAAUAUUUACUCAUAACAAUCUCACACAUAAGAAUUAUGUUAUCAUUAAAAGAUGAAUACGAAUGUUUUGUACUUAGCCUUUGCCAAGUUAUAUAACUUAAUUAAUUAAUUUAUAAGUCCAGACUUUACAAAGAAAAAUCAAGUGAAGUUAAUAAACACAAACUUAAGCAUCAUCAUUGGGUUGAUGCUCUUUUGGGUGUCUCGUCAAAGCUUGAUUAGUAAUGAUUGGAUCUCAUUCAUUAUUCACAUGUCAUCUUGAAACAAAGCUUUGUAAACAGAAUUAGAACCACCACCCCGUUCAUCUUUCUUGUCUCCUCCGCCGCCUAUCAUCGGAGUCUCACAAACCACGCUAUAACCAGCCCUCCGUUGUUUCUUCCUUUUGGAUUCUUUAUUAGAUACGGGUCUAACCUUGGUUGUUUGUAAUGGCUUCGGAGCCCAAACCCUCUGCAAAUCGGGCAUUCGGCCUGUGAAUACGAACCUUUUAGCCCUCUCUCUCCUCUCACGAGCCUCAAUUAACUUUUGUUCAUCAUCCUUUUCUGUCUCUCCUAAAUCCAAGUUGUCAAGCGGAGGAUGCGAUGGUUCGUCUUCUAAAAACAAUGAAUCGUGAAUCAUCAUCUUAUUAGCAGCAGCCAUCUCGUGACUGCUAUCCUCGCUGUUCAACAUCAUACCCUGAUCUUCGUUUUCUUCACCAAAUGGUAACAGGUCCAUUUCAUCGUAGAUCUUCUUCACCACGUCUUCCAGAUUCUGUGAAUACCUGAAAAUUGAAUUUAUCAUAAGCAAAUUAUCAAACAGUUGGUGUGCAACUGAGAAAUGGCUAGAAUUUGGAUACAAAAACUGUGGAAACUAUCAAAUAAUCAAACAAAUAAACGAAGUACCUGGUUUUUAUGGUUUUCUCGACGUACGCAUAAAGACUGAUAUCACCAUGAAAGCCUCCUUCCACAAGGUAUUGGAAGAUCUCCAAUAGCGAACAAAUCUGUUUCACAAGCUUCGUCUUCAAACUCCCCUUCAUACUCCCUGCAUAUUCGGACUGAAGUAUCUCCAUCCGGAGCAAAAUUUGUAAUUCGUAUCUUUAAGUUUAUUAAGGAAAAGAUUAGACCAAAUAAAGAUAUAUUACCAAUUUACCAAGAAUAUGUAAAAGAAAUAAAAAGAAUAAAAGGAUACUCUUUGACUAGGUAUUUUGAGGUAGAACUUGGAUCAUUAUCUUUAUGUUCCUUCAAAUCUUUGGGCUCUGUUAGUAGUAACUGUAUGAUUUCAGCAACUUGAGUAGAACAAGAUUCAUCAAGAUUUUCCAUCUUUUUCUGCUUUUGAGAUAACCAAUAAAUGGACGAGUUUACAAAACUCUCUGCCAUGAUCUUCAAGUCCACACCAUCAGAUUCAAGCCCCUGUUGAAUUCUCUUAGGCAAACUACUGAAAAAAGCUUCUGGAGUUUCUGAACAAGAUUCAAAAUCAGCAUCCCCAUGGAUUCUUGACUGUUGAGAACUAAUAGCCAUUGUAAGAGGUCCAUCGCUUUCUUGAUGGCUUGCAGAAAUAUCUUCAUUUACAUCUGUUUCUUUUUGCUGAAUUGAAUCUGGAGCCAUUUUGCAUGAUCUAUCUAGUAUGUUAUUGGAAGAUAAGCUCUUGUUUUUCACUUCUGUCAUCCAGCAUUUCAGAAACUUCAACUUCUUUGACUUUUUCAAGCCAUUGGCAAAAUAAACCUCUGUUAAGUCCACAUCUAAAAACUCAUAUGCAGCCUUGCAGAAUGCACUCCAUGUAAGGUCCCGAUGUGUGUGUUUUUUAAUCUUUCUUCUCUUUCCACCAGCUAAAUGAACAUAUUUUCCAGAUGGGGAAGUACCCUUUUGAGAAUCAAAGUCACCUUGAGAAAGUUUAUUCUCUAUCAAGAGGUUUGAUCCACCAUCUUUUUGAACAAGAGCAUUGUUAUGAUCUAAGAACAAGAGAACAGCUGAAUGAACUGUGAAGGGCUUGAGAAUCCCUGUGUGAGAAUCCCCAUUGUUAUUUGAUAUAGAUAACAAAGCCCAGUAACCCUUGCUAUAAAGAAAACUAAGUAAAAUCUGCCAUGUUGGAACCGAAUGCUUCUCAAAGAACUCAGAUUUUUCACUGGCUAAUUGUCCAAGAACCUUAUCAGCCAAAAAAAUGUCUAAACCAUCUUUCUCCUUUUUGGCAGAUUUUGCAGAUUGAACUAAAAAAUGAUCUGAAGAAAAUUCUUCAAGUUUUUCACACACAGUGUACUUGUGAACAGAUGUGAUGUGCAACUUCAUAAUUCCAUUGUUUAAAUUACCCAAAAAUGUGCUCACAGAGUUGACAACUUCAUCUUUUGAGCUAGGCUUUGAUGAUGCCUUUAGAUGCAGCACAUUAAGAUCACAGCAUUUCCACUCUAUGGGCUUACCAUGGACAUCCAAAAUCUCGAGACCUAAUUGCCCACGGAUCCUUUUAUCUAAUUUAGGAGAAUCUAGCAACUUAGAUGAGAUCCCAAUAACUGGAUAUAUCAACCCGAAAGAAACAAGCGCAGAACCUAGAACAAUGGAAUCCGCAGAGCAAAAUCCCCAACCAAAUUUCCUAAUUUCAUUUCCAAUAAUAGCAGAGUGCUUCUCGGAUUUAUUGUUUUUGCCUUCUUCUUCUUCGUGGCUAUGAAUGUCAACCCAACAGAAAUGUAUGUCCUUACUAUUAAAUGCAUCAUUAACAGCACCAAAACAAUCACGAAACCUAGCACCAUAAAUAUCUAAAUUCCUCAAGCAAUCAUUAUCGACAUCCACAGACACAAAAUCAGCUAAGGAUUUCAACGAUCUACAAACUGGCGACAACAAAAUAACCAAAUUUGAUCGGACAUCGAUGGGAUCAGAAUGAAUUUUACCUGGAAGAUUCUCAAUAUCGAACUCCCAGCCAUAGUCGCGAGCGAGCUGAAGCAAAGAGCUGGCUAUAUGUGAAGCGUUUGAAGGGGAAUACGUCAAUUUGGUAGAAGAGAUGGAAUUAAGGGUGUGGGAGAGAGAAUCUAGGGUUUGCGAAGGAGAAUUGAAGGAUACAGAAGCAGAAGAAUAACUGGGAAGUAGAUUGCGGAGCGUAGAGACGGAAUCGAGAGAGGAGAGAGAAGAGAAGAAGAGCUUGAAGGAGAAAAGAGAAGAUGAAAGAGGAGGGAAAGAUAAAAGAAUAUUGGAGGUAGCAAGAAUGGAGGUGAGGUAAUUAGGGUUAGGAAAUUGGGAUAGAAAUGGAUUGAGGUCUACGAGAAGAACUAUACGCUGUGUUUUUGAGAAAUCAAUGGCGUCCGCCAUUCAAGCUUGAUAUUUUAAGACUUUCGGGGAGAGCACAGAGAUACGGGGUUCUCGCUGUAGAAGUAGAAGAGCAGAUAUGCUUAUUGCAGAUCCAGGAUGCUAACUUGCGCCGCACCAACGUGGAGAGAGAGGAUAGAGACCGGGACAAUAUGGGCGGCAAUGUAGCAAUGGCGGGAGAAUUAUAUGAGUUUAAAAGUCAUGACCGGUUUAUACAAAUAUAAUUAAAAAAACGACGUAUCAUAAUUGUUAAAGUAAAUGAAAAAAACAAUUAAAAAAAAACAUUGUUAGACGAGAAUAUACUUAUUGAAUAACAUAUAUGUUCAAGAUGAAACUUAAUCCAUUAACCUCAUGGAAGAAUGACAUUUCAUUAUACUGAUAGGUUAAAAACUUGUUGGUUUUUGACUUUCAAUUGUUUAGAUGUAUGUUUGUGAUUCGGUUUCUUAUUUAAGUGUGACAAAACUAUAACCAUCAACUUUUCGUUAAAACGAUUAUCUUACAAAAUAAACUUCACUACACAUAUCCUACACUACACUCUUUAUUCAAUAUUGUUUUAUCCUAACAGUAAGCAAGAACUUGGAACCCUAACUAAGAGUUCUAAGAAAACAAAGAGCAUCAAAUAAUCUAAAGGGCGUAUUAUGUGAUAAUGACAUAAAACCUAACUCUCUCCAUUUAUAUAUAGCGUACAGGAAUAUAAUAUACACCUCAUUAUACAAGUUUGAACACAAGUGUGUCAUUUAAGAGCAUACAAAUGUCAUAGUACAAGUUCCAAAGCCAUUAGUGCAUUUAAUUAAAGCUCCACACGUACAAACAUCCAAGCUCCCACAUAAUAAUCCUUUAAAGCUUCAUCUCUACUUUGAUAAUAAUACCAACAGUCUGUAACAUCUUAAAAUUUAAGACUUUGUUAUUAAAUAAAUAAAGUGAAUAAAAGAGAGAUGAUGUAUAUAGUUAGAGCAUUAAGGAGUAAGCAUAUCAUUGGUUGAUAUGAAGUUUGGAAGAUUAGAAGUGAAAAUUAUAACAUCUUAAAAGUUAAAGGAUUAUUGUGACAGUCGGGUGAAACUUAGGUUUGACUAGAGAUUUGACCAGCUUAAAUAACUUGGAUUAAGUUGUGAAGAUUAUGAUGUUGAGGGGUCAUUUUGGAAGUUCAUUGAAGCUUCUAAGUUAGUUUGGAGUUAUUUUGAAAGAGGUUUUGAAAGGAGGGACCGAAAGUGGCAAGUUGAUAAAGUUCAAAAUUAGUUAAUGGGUCUUCGCUCCCAUUUGCUUAAAAAACAACGCGGUUGAGAGAAAGAGAGAGGUAAAUGGCGAUUUCUAUUAAGCAAAGGAAGAUUUAGAGUGGUCGUUGAGUAAUCAAGCUAGAAAUUGAAGAUAUAAAGCAACAUCAAGCUUAAGAGGUAUAAUUUCUUAUCCUCUAACUCUAUACUUCGAAUUCAAGGUUUGGGGAAAACCUCGAUGUCGAAAUUAGUUUGAUUCUUUGAUUAGGGUUUUGGUUUCUAACCUCUCUUGAGUUGUUUUGAUGAUCUCAAUCUCAAUCUCAAUCAAAUCAUCAUAUUGAUGGGUUUGAGGAUUUUAAUGAAACCCCUCAUGAACCCUAGAAAUUCAAAUUAUGGAUUUCAUGUUUAUAUGUUAGAUUGUAAUGGAUUCAAUGACCUAUAUGCUUUUUGAUGUCAAUAAACCCAAUUGGAAUGCUCAAUCACAUCCAUGAUGGUAGAAUCAAAGUAUGAGCGUGAAUUUUAGGUGAUUUUAGGGAAAUUGUGGUGAAAACAACAUAAUUAUUUAUAUAUGAGCAUUUGAUGAGUACAUGAUACUCAUAAACAUGAAAUGAUACUAAUAAUAUGAUUUAAAUGCACGAACAUGAAGGCUUGGGUGAUCUAUAGUUGAAUUUAUGGAAUAAUUGGCCAAAAGGGCCUUUUAGGAAAUGUAUUGACAAACAUAUAAUGAUUGACAAAUAAUAAGUGAAUGGCAUUCAUGAACAUGAAUUAACACUCUAGAUAUGUUAUUGGAACAUUAUGUAAUAUCCCAAAAUUUAAGACUAAAAAAUUUCUUUUAAUAAAACAUUUCUUUAAGCAAAUUCAUCAUUCCAAAACAUGAAUAGAGUAUUAAUUUCCAAAAUACUUGUUCGUUAUCGGAGUAAACAUUCCUAGGCUAUCUAAUCUGUGGUGUGUGUGCCAUGCGAUCACCCCGAGCUCUUCCCUCCGCUACCGGAAGUACCCGAAACCAAAACUGAAAACCGUAAGCACGAAGCUUAGUGAGUUCCCCACCCUACCACAUACCAUACAUUCACAUAUCAUACACACUGUCGGGCAAUUAUGGGGUGCCCGACCUACCCGGNNNNNNNNNNNNNNNNNNNNNNNNNNNNNNNNNNNNNNNNNNNNNNNNNNNNNNNNNNNNNNNNNNNNNNNNNNNNNNNNNNNNNNNNNNNNNNNNNNNNNNNNNNNNNNNNNNNNNNNNNNNNNNNNNNNNNNNNNNNNNNNNNNNNNNNNNNNNNNNNNNNNNNNNNNNNNNNNNNNNNNNNNNNNNNNNNNNNNNNNNNNNNNNNNNNNNNNNNNNNNNNNNNNNNNNNNNNNNNNNNNNNNNNNNNNNNNNNNNNNNNNNNNNNNNNNNNNNNNNNNNNNNNNNNNNNNNNNNNNNNNNNNNNNNNNNNNNNNNNNNNNNNNNNNNNNNNNNNNNNNNNNNNNNNNNNNNNNNNNNNNNNNNNNNNNNNNNNNNNNNNNNNNNNNNNNNNNNNNNNNNNNNNNNNNNNNNNNNNNNNNNNNNNNNNNNNNNNNNNNNNNNNNNNNNNNNNNNNNNNNNNNNNNNNNNNNNNNNNNNNNNNNNNNNNNNNNNNNNNNNNNNNNNNNNNNNNNNNNNNNNNNNNNNNNNNNNNNNNNNNNNNNNNNNNNNNNNNNNNNNNNNNNNNNNNNNNNNNNNAUAAACCAUUCCUUGGGCACCCGCCCUCUAUCAUUGGACCUCGUCCCGAAUAUCAUACUAGCAUACUGUGCUUAGGGCUAACCCCCGGGUCUUCUACUCAUAACUACAUGGGCCGGCAUUGUGGCCGUAGACCCAUUCAUACAAAGGGAAACUCACCUACAUUGGCUGAACUGGCUGAUGAACCCACUAGCUGCUACCCGACAACUCUCUGAAUUCCUGCUCCACUCGCUCCUUGAGCUGCCAAAAUCAAUGCAACAUUGAGUCUAACUGACUCCCGAAAGACAACCAAGUCAAAUCUGGUCUAAGUCAGAGUCCAGGUCAAAGUCAACCUCCCAGGUCAACCCUACUCGUCGAGUCUUCCUACUGACUCGCCGAGUUCAUGCGCUCAAAGUCCUUCCAAUCGCGACUUGAUUCGCCGAGUCAGUCCAUGACUCGUCGAGUCCAACGAUUUUUGAGUCCUGACCUGUCCAACUCACCGAGUCUCCACUCGACUCACUAAUUCGAGUCUUAACUCGAAGGGUUUGGGGUUUCGCGACCUGACUCGCCGAGUCCAAGAACAGACUCGCCGAGUCCAAGGCAAUCUUCAACCAACUCGCCGAGUUGUUCUUCAAACUCGCCGAGUUCCUGCCCAACUUCAUCUGACUCGAUGAGUUGUUCAUCCCACUCGUCGAGUUCCUCCAAAUCUUCAUGCCACUCGUCGAGUCCACUCAAAGGACUCGCCAAGUCCAUUCAGACCUCCAUACAUGCAGAGGACUUUUGAGUCAUGCAUGGACUCCAAACUGUAGAUCUACCCUUCCCAAGCCUAUUCCUCACGUAAAGUUGCAAACUUUACGUGUAGAGAAGGAGAUCUAGGCAAAAUACACCAUAAACUAGGGUUUAAGGCAAGGAGGCUCCAUAAUCANNNNNNNNNNNNNNNNNNNNNNNNNNNNNNNNNNNNNNNNNNNNNNNNNNNNNNNNNNNNNNNNNNNNNNNNNNNNNNNNNNNNNNNNNNNNNNNNNNNNNNNNNNNNNNNNNNNNNNNNNNNNNNNNNNNNNNNNNNNNNNNNNNNNNNNNNNNNNNNNNNNNNNNNNNNNNNNNNNNNNNNNNNNNNNNNNNNNNNNNNNNNNNNNNNNNNNNNNNNNNNNNNNNNNNNNNNNNNNNNNNNNNNNNNNNNNNNNNNNNNNNNNNNNNNNNNNNNNNNNNNNNNNNNNNNNNNNNNNNNNNNNNNNNNNNNNNNNNNNNNNNNNNNNNNNNNNNNNNNNNNNNNNNNNNNNNNNNNNNNNNNNNNNNNNNNNNNNNNNNNNNNNNNNNNNNNNNNNNNNNNNNNNNNNNNNNNNNNNNNNNNNNNNNNNNNNNNNNNNNNNNNNNNNNNNNNNNNNNNNNNNNNNNNNNNNNNNNNNNNNNNNNNNNNNNNNNNNNNNNNNNNNNNNNNNNNNNNNNNNNNNNNNNNNNNNNNNNNNNNNNNNNNNNNNNNNNNNNNNNNNNNNNNNNNNNNNNNNNAAUAAUAGACUCGGUUCACCCUGACCCUGAACAUCCUGGAAACACAACUUACUUACCGACAAUCCUUCUGGUACUCACCGAGUACUGCACUGAACCUAUAGGGGUUCACCCCUUCUUUCCUUGCACAAUUCCUUGCCUUCCCAAGGCAAAGCUCCAUAACCAACUAUUCCUUCUGUCACUGUGAAGGCCCUAUCCUUCACCAACUCCAUCACCCCCGCUAUUUCCAGUACGGGUCAUAUCCGUCAGUAACCACUGACACCUCCUCUCUGCCAAAACUUGGUGCCGAGCACCCCUCGAUUCAAGUAACUGAAUUCCACCAUACGCUGCUUACCCGCAAUACCACUGACUGAAAAUUCUGCUAUUCCUUGUCUGCCUUCCGGAUGAACUGAGACCACCCUGGUCCCUACCAACCUAUCAAUGACUGGAUUACCGGCUCCCACCGGUAGUUGACCCAACACAACUACUAGUCGCUCCCAGGGACUUCCGAAGAAACUUCGACCACCUAUAACUGCUCAAUCUAUUCUGCUAUUCAGGCACUACAAACAUGGGAUCCCCGAUCCCCUAACUUGACACUAAGGUCCCUACCAGAUCCCACCUGCGCUGCUAAGACCCACGGGCCUCGCCCACGGGUCCCACCCGUCUCUAUCCUUCUAGUCCCACUAGUCUAAUCACUCUCGCUCGGGCCUCGCCCACGGGUCUCACCCCAACCAUAUCCUGGAGCAGCCUCUCCCAAGGUCUCACCUCUCUAGAGCUAAAUAGGCAAACUCCCUAUCAUUCUCAUCCACUACCCAUUCCUGAUCCCUGACCGAUCACUAGGAGGUAAGGGCCUCGCUCCAACUCCGCUAUCGAAGCUACUAAGGAAUGCUAUGGCUGCCCCGUAGUCUGACAACACUUCCGCCACUAACUGCUAAUACGAAGGCACCCAUGUGCCAUUAGCUCUCAAGAUCCUCAUUCUGACUCCCUCGAGUCCUACGGGCGAUCCACAACCUGAAUUCCCAACCACGUACUAACCAUUACCAUCACACGCACUAGUUGUUGGGGAGUUUCUCAAACUCCCAACCCUGAAAUCCUCAAUCCAUCAAAUGCUGAACUACCUCUUUUCCUUCUCGGAGGUUGCACCCUCAUUCUGGAUCUGCGUGCUCCUACCUUUUCACACUCGGAGGAUUCUCCCCCACUUCGAUCCUGCUUACCCCUUGUUGCUCAAUACUCAAAAGAAAUCCUUGCUACCAUUUCAUAAUCAAUCUGCUGAGGGACCCGUGCUUACCAUAGCUAGGGAUCUAACCAAUCCAUUUCUAACACUAUACAACUCCGAUCUUUUCAAUACUCAAAAGAAAUUCUUUUUAAAUGCUUUUAAAAAGAAUGUCUUGAAGGCAAAAACGUUUUUGAAAGUAAAGAAUGUUUUGGAAGAACAAAUGUUUUGAUAUGUGAAAUGUAUCUUUUCAAAGUAUAUUUUUCUAGUAACAUAUGCUAUUGAAAAUUAUGAUAUGUGUAUUGAUAAUGGGGAAUAUGAAAGCUAAAAAAAAAAAGUAAAAAGACACAAUGAAAACUACUCGGACCAUGAUACCUCAUAAGAGGCACUAGAGAAAUCUAUCGGGAUGACACCUCCCUCUUGCGAGAUAGAUGUCCUAAUUGAUAUGAUGCCUUGAUAAAUUGAGUUGCUCUUUCCACAUUAGUCUAGACUUGGGAGUGG
rnacentral:lncRNA from 1 species